GUGAACGCUGGCGGUAGGCCUAACACAUGCAAGUCGCACGGCAGCACAGUAAGAGCUUGCUCUUACGGGUGGCGAGUGACGGACGGGUGAGGAAUACAUCGGAAUCUACUUUUUCGUGGGGGAUAACGUAGGGAAACUUACGCUAAUACCGCAUACGACCUACGGGUGAAAGCAGGGGAUCUUCGGACCUUGCGCGAUUGAAUGAGCCGAUGUCGGAUUAGCUAGUUGGCGGGGUAAAGGCCCACCAAGGCGACGAUCCGUAGCUGGUCUGAGAGGAUGAUCAGCCACACUGGAACUGAGACACGGUCCAGACUCCUACGGGAGGCAGCAGUGGGGAAUAUUGGACAAUGGGCGCAAGCCUGAUCCAGCCAUACCGCGUGGGUGAAGAAGGCCUUCGGGUUGUAAAGCCCUUUUGUUGGGAAAGAAAAGCAGCAGGUUAAUACCCCGCUGUUCUGACGGUACCCAAAGAAUAAGCACCGGCUAACUUCGUG
rnacentral:rRNA from 1 species